AACAAACGCUGGCGGCGUGCCUAAUACAUGCAAGUCGAACGGGGAAAGCUUUCGGGUGUACUAGUGGCGCACGGGUGAGUAACGCGUGGAUAAUCUGCCUUAGAGUGGGGGAUAACUAGUCGAAAGAUUAGCUAAUACCGCAUAAGACCACAAGAACUGCGGUUCAAGGGGUCAAAGGUUUUUCGCUCUAAGAUGAGUCCGCGUAAGAUUAGCUAGUUGGUAGGGUAACGGCCUACCAAGGCGACGAUCUUUAACUGGUCUGAGAGGAUGAUCAGUCACACUGAAACUGAGACACGGUCCAGACUCCUACGGGAGGCAGCAGUAGGGAAUAUUGCACAAUGGAGGAAACUCUGAUGCAGCGACGCCGCGUGAGUGAUGAAGGCCUUCGGGUCGUAAAGCUCUGUCGCAGGGGAAUAACACAAUGAAGGUACCCUGUAAGAAAGGAUCGGCUAACUUCGUGCCAGCCGCCGCCGUAACAC
rnacentral:rRNA from 1 species